rnacentral:rRNA from 1 species
AGCGAACGCUGGCGGCAGGCCUAACACAUGCAAGUCGAACGAAGUCUUCGGACUUAGUGGCGGACGGGUGAGUAACACGUGGGAACGUGCCUUUAGGUUCGGAAUAACUCAGGGAAACUUGUGCUAAUACCGAAUGUGCCCUUCGGGGGAAAGAUUUAUCGCCUUUAGAGCGGCCCGCGUCUGAUUAGCUAGUUGGUUAGGUAAAGGCUCACCAAGGAGACGAUCAGUAGCUGGUCUGUGAGGAUGAUCAGCCACAUUGGAACUGAGACACGGCCCAAACUCCUACGGGAGGCAGCAGUGGGGAAUCUUGCGCAAUGGGCGAAAGCCUGACGCAGCCAUGCCGCGUGAAUAAUGAAGGUCUUAGGAUUGUAAAAUUCUUUCACCGGGGACGAUAAUGACGGUACCCGGAGAAGAAGCCCCGGCUAACUUCGUGCCAGCCGCCGCCGUAAGAC